GACGAAGGUGGCGAGCGUUGUUCGGAAUCACUGGGCAUAAAGCGCACGUAGGCGGUGGCGUAAGUCGGGUGUGAAAUCCCUCGGCCCAACCGAGGAACUGCGCCCGAUACUGCGUUGCUUGAGGACCAAAGGGGUGCAUGGAAUUUCCGGUGGAGCGGUGAAAUGCGUUGAUAUCGGAAGGAACGUCGGCGGCGAAAGCGGUGCACUGGUUGGUCUCUGACGCUGAGGUGCGGAAAGCCAGGGGAGCAAACGGG
rnacentral:rRNA from 1 species